CCUACGGGAGGCUGCAGUGGGGAAUAUUGGACAAUGGGCGAAAGCCUGAUCCAGCCAUGCCGCGUGUGUGAAGAAGGCCUUCGGGUUGUAAAGCACUUUCAGUGGGGAAGAAAGCCUUGGGGCUAAUACCCUCGAGGAAGGACAUCACCCACAGAAGAAGCACCGGCUAACUCCGUGCCAGCAGCCGCGGUAAUACGGAGGGUGCGAGCGUUAAUCGGAAUUACUGGGCGUAAAGCGCGCGUAGGCGGUCUGAUAAGCCGGUUGUGAAAGCCCCGGGCUCAACCUGGGAACGGCAUCCGGAACUGUCAGGCUAGAGUGCAGGAGAGGAAGGUAGAAUUCCCGGUGUAGCGGUGAAAUGCGUAGAGAUCGGGAGGAAUACCAGUGGCGAAGGCGGCCUUCUGGACUGACACUGACGCUGAGGUGCGAAAGCGUGGGUAGCAAACAGGAUUAAAUACCCGAGUAGUC
rnacentral:rRNA from 1 species